UCCUGGUGGCUCAGUUGGUAAAGAACCUGCCUGUGAUGCAGGAGACCUGGGUUCACUCCCUGGACUAGGAG
rnacentral:tRNA from 1 species